rnacentral:rRNA from 1 species
UACCAGCACCCCGAGUGGUCGGGACGAUUAUUGGGCCUAAAGCAUCCGUAGCCGGCCUUACAAGUCCUCCGUUAAAUCCAGCUGCUUAACAGAUGGGCUGCGGAGGAUACUAUAAGACUAGGAGGCAGGAGAGGCAAGCGGUAGCUCAGUGGGUAGGGGUAAAAUCCGUUGAUCCAUUGAAGACCACCAGUGGCGAAGGCGGCUUGCCAGAAUGCGCUCGAUGGUGAGGGAUGAAAGCUGGGGGAGCAAACCGG